rnacentral:lncRNA from 1 species
GUGACCUCGCCUGCGGCCAGCUCCUCCAUUGCCGCCUCCUCGACUCUGCCCUUCCUCUAGACUCCAUUGUCACCAACUCUCUUAUCACCACCUUCGCAUAAAGAAAAUACAUUUUUAGCCACACGUCAUGCAAUUUUUUUAGCUACCCUCAAAACCACCAUCACCACUACCAUCCUCCAAACCCCAGCAACCAACAAACACCCGACCCUCGAGCCCUUGAAGCACCGCAUCAUCCGCCUCGCCGAUCACGGAUGCCUAACGAUGCCCUCUCCGCCCUCGACCUCAUGGACCGCCAC